UAGUUGAAUGACAAUGAUGGUUUUUCAUAUCAUUAGUUGUGGUUAGAUUCCAUGCGGGAAUAAUGAUAACAUACAUUGUAUUUAUUUUAAGUAUCAUUUUUGUGCUUGGUUUUGUAGGAUUUUCUUCAAAACCUUCACCUAUUUAUGGGGGAUUGGGUUUAAUUGUGAGUGGUGGGGUUGGCUGUGGUAUUGUAUUAAAUUUUGGUGGGUCUUUCUUGGAAUAGCGUCGUGUAGGGAAA